AYGGCAGGAGUGAAGGCAUACUACUGUUCAGCAGCCCAUGGGAUCUGGGGAGGCUUCCUGGUGGAUGUCAUCUUUUGGUGCAACAAGUGUAUACCAUUAUGUUCUUUAGUUAUUGAAGGAAGACUUUUGAAUCAAGAUCUGUCAGUGCACGACCAUGGGACAUGCAAAAAAAAGGAUCUGGAGCAGACACUGAUCUGCUUGCUGUCUUAAGUCCUGUGCAUGCUGGGGAUGCCUUGUCAGCCCUCAUCACUGACAUGAAGUAUAUUUUGAGUUGCCACUUACCUUCAGUAACCCUGGAGAUGAGAUGCGUGGGAGGAGGAGGAGGAUAGCCAGGCAGGCAGGCUGCUCCACUUAGAGAGACUUGGAAAACCCUCACAGAGCAAUUGAUCUUUGUGCUAAAGAAGAAAAAGAAACCG
rnacentral:lncRNA from 1 species